CGCGUAGGCGGUUUACACAGUCAGAUGUGAAAUUCCAGGGCUUAACCUUGGGGCUGCAUUUGAUACGUGUAGACUAGAGUGUGAGAGAGGGUUGUGGAAUUCCCAGUGUAGAGGUGAAAUUCGUAGAUAUUCGGAAGAACACCAGUGGCGAAGGCGGCCAACUGGUCCAUUACUGACGCUGAGGUGCGAAAGCGUGGGGAGCAAACAGGAUUAGAUACCCGCGUA
rnacentral:rRNA from 1 species